AAGGUUGAUUUGGAAAGAGGAGGUUGAUCUGAAAAGAGGUGGUUGAUUUGAAAAGAGAAAGUUGAUCUGAAAAGAGGUGGUUGAUUUGGAAAGAGGAGGUUGAUCUGAAAAGAGAAGGUUGAUUUGGAAAGAGGAGGUUGAUCUGAAAAGAGGUGGUUAAUUUGGAAAGAGAAGGUUGAUCUGAAAAGAGAAGGUUGAUUUGGAAAGAGGAGGUUGAUCUGAAAAGAGAAGGUUGAUUUGGAAAGAGGAGGUUGAUCUGAAAAGAGAAGGUUGAUUUGGAAAGAGAAGGUUGAUCUGAAAAGAGAAGGUUGAUUUGGAAAGAGGAGGUUGAUCUGAAAAGAGAAGGUUGAUUUGGAAAGAGGAGGUUGAUCUGAAAAGAGAAGGUUGAUUUGGAAAGAGAAGGUUGA
rnacentral:sRNA from 1 species